rnacentral:rRNA from 1 species
AAAAGCGUCCUCUGUGGCGGACCAGGCCCAAGUCCCCUGGAAAGGGGCACCAGAGGGGGUGAGAGCCUCGUCAUGCCCGGACCCUAUCGCACCACGAGGCACUGUCGCCGAGUCGGGUUGUAUGGGAAUGCAGCCCCAGUCGGAUGUGGAACAGCCACAAGCCGGUCCACAGAUCGGCUCGAGGUGCGGACCGACGCGGAUUGGAAGGGUGGCUGAACCCCGGUCCCCGCGAGCUUCGUCCUUGCAAUUGUGGAAGGCAGCGCGCACCGCCACGGCGUACUGCGGUACCUGCACUCUCCUGAUGUCGGCCUGCGGGCCCUCCAUUCGGCCUGUCUUGAAACACGAACCAAGGAGUCUGACAUGUGUGCAAGUAAAUGGGCGAGUAAACCCGUACGGUGCAAGGAAGCUGGUGGGCGAGAUCCCCUCGUGGGUACACCGCCGGCCGACCUUGAUCUUCUGAGAAGGGUUCGAGUGAGAGCUUACCUGUGGGGACCCGAAAGAUGGUGAACUAUGCAGGGCGAAGCCAGAGGAAACUCUGGUGGCGGCCCGAAGCGAUACUGACGGGUAGAUCGUUCGUCUGACUUGGGUAUAGGGGCGAAAGACUAAUCGAACUGUCUAGUAGCUGGUUCCCUCUGAAGUUUCCCUCGGGAUAGCUGGAGCUCAUACGUGAGUCCAUCAGGUGAAGCCAAUGAUUAGAGGCAUCGGGGGCGCAAUGCCCUCUAUGAAUUCUCAAACUUUAAAUAGGUAAGACGGUGCGGCUGCUUUGUUGAGCCGCCACGGAAUAGAGAGCUCUAAGAGGGCCAUUUUUGGUAAGUAGAACUGGCGAUGCGGGAUGAACCGGAAGCCGGGUUACGGAGUCCAACUGUGCGCUAAACUAGAUCCCAUAAAGGGUGUUGGACGAUUAAGACAACCGGACGGUGGUUAUAAAAGUCGAGAUUUGGUAAGGAGUGUGUAACUCACCUGCCGAAUCAACUAGCCCCAAAAAUGGAUGGCGCUAAAGCGCGCGACCUAUACCCGAUCGUCGGCGCAAGUGCUAGGCCCCGAUGAGUAGGAAGGCGCGGCAGUCGCUGCAAAACCUGUGGCGCGAGCCAGGGCGGAGCGGCCGUCGGUGCAGAUCUUGGUCGUAGUAGAACAUAUUCAAAUAAAAACUUUGAAGGCGAAGAGGGGAAAGGUUCUAUGUGAACGACACUUGCACAUGGGUUAGCCGAUUCUAAGAGACGGGGGAAGCCCGUCCGACAGUGCGUUUCGCGUGAGCUUCGAAAGGGAAUCGGGUUAAAAUUCCCGAACCGGGAUGCGGCGGUUAACGACAACGUUAGGGAGACCGGAGACAUUGGCGGGGGCCUUGGGAAGAGUUAUCUUUUCUAUUUAAAAGCCUGCCUACCCAGGAAAUAACUCAAUCGGAGGUAGGGUCCAGCGGCUGGAAGAGCACCUCACAUCGCGUGGUGUCCAGUGCGCCCCCGGCAGCCCUUGAAAAUCCAGAGGACCGAGUGCCGACCGCGCCCGGUCGUACUCAUAACCGCAUUAGGUCUCCAAGGUGAACAGCCUCUGGUCGAUGGAAUAAUGUAGGCAAGGGAAGUUGGCAAAAUGGAUCCGUAACUUCAAAAAAAGGUUUGGCUCUGAGGGCUUGGCACGGGGGUCCCAGCCCCGAACCCGUUGGCUAUCGGCGAACUGCUCGAGCGGGUCGCCGCGUGUCGGCCGGGGGACGGACUGGGAACGGCCCCUUCGGGGGCCUUCCCUUGGCGUCGAGCAGUCAACUCAAAAUUGGUACGGACAAGGGGAAUCCGACUGUUUAAUUAAAACAAAGCAUUGCGANNNNNNNNNNNNNNNNNNNNNNNNNNNNNNNNNNNNCAAAUACUCAAAUGAGUACAUUAAAGGCCGAAGAGGGGAAAGGUUCCAUGUGAACGGAACUUGCACAUGCGUUAGUCGAUCUUAAGAGAUGGAGGAAGCCCGUCCGAUAGCGAAACCAUAGCCAAGGGAACGGGCUUGGUAGAAUCAGCAGGGAAAGAAGACCCUGUUGAGCUUGACUCUAGUCCGACUUUAUGAAAUGACUUGAGAGGUGUAGCGUAAGUGGGAGCUUCGACGUAAGUAAAAUACCACUACUUUUAACAUUAUUUUACUUACUCCGUGAGUCAGAGGCGGGGCAUCGCCCCUCUUUUUGGACUUAAGGCUCGCCUCGCGGGCCGACCCGAGCUGAGGACAUUGUCAGGUGGGGAGUUUGGCUGGGGCGGCACAUCUGUUAAAGGAUAAUGCAAGUGUCCUAAGAUGAGCUCAACGAGAACAGAAAUCUCGUGUGGAAUAGAAGGGUAAAAACUCGUUUAAUUCUGAUUUUCAGUACGAAUAUGAACCGUGAAAGCGUGGCCUAACGGUCCUUUAGACCUUCCAAAUUUGAAGCUGGAGGUGUCAGGAAAGUUACCACAGGGAUAACUGGCUUGUGGUAGCCAAGCGUUUAUAGCGACGUUGCUUUUUGAUCCUUCGAUGCCGGCUCUCCCUAUCUUUGUGAAGCAGAAUUCACCAGGUGUUGGAUUGUUCACCCACCAAUAGGGAAUUUGAGCAAGGUUUAGACUGUCGUGGGAUAGGUUUUACCCUAUUGAUGACAUUAUCGCGAUGGUAAUUCAACCUAGUACGAGAGGAAUCGUUGAUUCGCACAAUUAAUCAUCGCGCUUGGUUGAAAAGCCAGUGGCACGAAGCUACCGUGCGUUGGAUUAUGACUGAACGCCUCUAAGUCAGAAUCUGGGUCCGAAGCGACGCAUGCGCCCGCCACCCGAUUGCCGACCUGUAGUAGGGGCCUCGGCCCCUAAGGGCGCGUGUCGUGAGCUAAGCCAGUGCAGCGGAUGCGCCGCGAGGGCUGCCUUGAAGUACAAUUCCUACCGAGCGGCGGGUUGAAUCCCUUGCAGAUGACUUAAACACGCGACGGGGUAAUGUAAGUCGCAGAGUGGCCUUGCUGCCACGAUC